UACACACACGUGCGCACGA
rnacentral:miRNA from 1 species